ACAUUGAUGAAGAAUCCAAGACUAGGACGAAACAGCUGUCCAGUAC
rnacentral:hammerhead_ribozyme from 1 species